rnacentral:tRNA from 1 species
CGGGGUGUAGCGCAGUUGGUAGCGCGCUUGGUUCGGGACCAAGAGGUCAUGGGUUCAAAUCCCGUCACUCCGACCA